CCCAGAACCCAGUCGGGACUUAGUCGUGAGGAGGUGGAAAGGUAGCAGACCAAGCAACAAGAGCACAGCAGAGGGCACAAGUGCGAAAUUUUGUUUCAGGUUUAGUCCGAUCGUGGCUCUGUGCUCAUGUUUCCGCUCGCUGAAUCUAGGGACAUGGACGUGUCGUCGAUCGCCUGUUUAAGUGGCGAGGGAAAGGUCUCAGGGAGGAUGCUCUGACGACUCUUCACGUCGAUCUGCUCGCUAAAGGGUACUAUACGAGCAGAGGUUCCAUUGGGACCCGUCCGCAGGAAGUUUGUCUUAGGUUUUUUUCUUCUGUCGGCGCAAGGUUAAGGUAGACUAGCAGAUCAGGAGAUUGAGCAGGUGGUAGCGAGGAGUAAGCAGUGGCUCGGGAAUAUUUUGAGGUCUGGCUUGGAGCCGUAGCAGUGGGUCUUGUGUCGUUCGGAAGCUCCGACACACAUGAUUCUGUGGUAGUACGAACGUUCUGGUAAGAUCGGCAUUGAAUUCAUACACAAGUUGAAUAUUGUGAUUUAAAUGUAGAGAAUUGUUGCGCGAGCUUACUUCCUUCUGCCAAUGUGAACGCCGCUAAUUGUUGUCCGGAGAUUGGAUAGAAUAUUGUAUGAAUGUUUAAUACAGAUAGAAUUUGCCAUCGAUUGUGGGCGGGUUCAUUGUUGGAGGGCGUUGGAUUUUCUUCGAUCAGUAUGCUGGAUAUUGGGAUUUCUGAAGGUAGGAGCCGCUUGAUGUAAACUUCCUGGAAAGUUUAGAAUCAUCGAAAUAGGAACUGAGGAAAUUGUGGCAACGAAUCAAAUGACAAGCGUUGCAGUGCGUGGGGAGUUUGGAUCACAUAGUUUAGCAGUAGUUGUGGGAGCUCAACUUUCGGAUUGUCAUGAGUGUUUUGUGUCGCCGAAGCCGCAUAAACAAUGGUUCCAACAAGCUUAAGAGCCAUCGAGAUGGGAGUGUUGAGGUAAUUGGAGCGGGCUGCUGGAGUGAAGGGAGGCCCUCAACCUCAAGCAAAUAGGCUGUGAUAAGUAAGAAAAGAGAAAAGAAUUGAAAUUUUUAUAUUUUGUGUAUGUGAGUUGGUAAGGUGAUCUAGUUUGUGAUUGUGUUUUUUUUUUUUUUUUUUUUUUUUUUUUGCUAUUAAAUUGUUUGUUAUUUAAUAAUUUAUUGUGAUUGUUGUGAAUUAGUCAUUAAGAUUAAGAGAAAGGGUUGUUAGAGUUGUUGAGAGAUAGAGCUUGUUGGUAUAUAUUGGGUAUGUUAAUGUAUAUUAAUGUUUGUUUGAGUAAGGAUGGUUUAGUAGUUGUAAGUUUUUAUACCAUUUAUAUAAAGACAUAUUAAACAAAAACCAAUGUAUAAUUCUAUGCAAGAAUAUUAAACUUGUAAUGAAGGCA